UACGGAGGGUGCAAGCGUUGUUCGGAAUCACUGGGCGUAAAGCGCGUGUAGGCGGCCUCUUAAGUCUGAUGUGAAAGCCCGGGGCUUACCCCCGGAAGGGCAUUGGAAACUGGGAGGCUGGAGUACCGGAGAGGGCAGUGGAAUUCCUAGUGUAGGAGUGAAAUGCGUAGAUAUCAGGAGGAACACCGGUGGCGAAGGCGGCCUUCUGGACGGAUACUGACGCUGAGACGCGAAAGCGUGGGGAGCAAACAGG
rnacentral:rRNA from 1 species